rnacentral:tRNA from 1 species
AUUUAAAUAGCUUAUAUUAGAGCAUAACAUUGAAGAUGUUAAGGAGGUUAAAAACUUUUAAAUA